rnacentral:rRNA from 1 species
GAAUUGUUCGCAAUGGGCGCAAGCCUGACGACGCAACGCCGCGUGGAGGAUGAAGGUCUUCGGAUUGUAAACUCCUGUUGCCCGGGACGAACGUCUCCGACCUAACACGUCGGGGAGUGACGGUACCGGGUGAGGAAGCCCCGGCUAACUCUGUGCCAGCAGCCGCGGUAAUACAGAGGGGGCAAGCGUUGUUCGGAAUUACUGGGCGUAAAGGGCGCGUAGGCGGCCUGCUAAGUCGAACGUGAAAUCCCCGGGCUCAACCCGGGAACUGCGUUCGAGACUGGUGGGCUUGAAUUCGGGAGAGGGAUGCGGAAUUCCAGGUGUAGCGGUGAAAUGCGUAGAUAUCUGGAGGAACACCGGUGGCGAAGGCGGCAUCCUGGACCGACAUUGACGCUGAGGCGCGAAAGCCAGGGGAGCAAAC